UAGGGAAUCUUCCGCAAUGGACGCAAGUCUGACGGAGCAACGCCGCGUGAGUGAAGAAGGAUUUCGGUUCGUAAAACUCUGUUGUUAGAGAAGAACAGCGCAUAGAGUAACUGUUAUGCGUGUGACGGUAUUUAACCAGAAAGCCACGGCUAACUACGUGCCAGCAGCCGCGGUAAUACGUAGGUGGCAAGCGUUGUCCGGAUUUAUUGGGCGUAAAGCGAGCGCAGGCGGUCAAUUAAGUCUGAUGUGAAAGCCCCCGGCUCAACCGGGGAGGGUCAUUGGAAACUGGAAAACUUGAGUGCAGAAGAGGAAAGUGGAAUUCCAUGUGUAGCGGUGAAAUGCGCAGAGAUAUGGAGGAACACCAGUGGCGAAGGCGACUUUCUGGUCUGUAACUGACGCUGAUGUGCGAAAGCGUGGGGAUCAAACAGG
rnacentral:rRNA from 1 species